rnacentral:rRNA from 1 species
CAAGAUCGAACUGAAGAGUUUGAUCCUGGCUCAGAUUGAACGCUGGCGGAAUGCUUUACACAUGCAAGUCGAACGGUAGAGGGGG